rnacentral:rRNA from 1 species
GAGUUUGAUUCAUUGGCUCAGAACGAACGCUGGCGGCGCGUCUUAAGCACGCAAGUCGAACGGCAAGAGAGGGGCUUGCUUUCUCUCCUAGAGUGGCGGACUGGUGAGGAACACGUGGGUAAUCUACCCUUAAGAUGGGGAUAGCUGCUAGAAAUAGCAGGUAAUACCGAAUACACUCAAGACUUCAUAAGAGGUAUUGAGGAAAGGAAGCUACGGCUUCGCUUGAGGAUGAGCUUGCGUCCCAUUAGCUAGUUGGUGAGGUAACGGCCCACCAAGGCGACGAUGGGUAUCCGGCCUGAGAGGGUGAACGGACACAUUGGGACUGAGAUACGGCCCAAACUCCUACGGGAGGCAGCAGCUAAGAAUAUUCCGCAAUGGACGGAAGUCUGACGGAGCGACGCCGCGUGGAUGAAGAAGGCUGAAAAGUUGUAAAAUCCUUUUGUUGAUGAAGAAUAAGGGUGAGAGGGAAUGCUCAUCUGAUGACGGUAAUCGGCGAAUAAGCCCCGGCUAAUUACGUGCCAGCAGCCGCGGUAACACGUAAGGGGCGAGCGUUGUUCGGAAUUAUUGGGCGUAAAGGGCAUGUAGGCGGUUAUGUAAGCCUGGUGUGAAAUCCUGGGGCUUAACCCUAGAAUAGCAUUGGGUACUGUGUAACUUGAAUUACGGAAGGGAAACUGGAAUUCCAAGUGUAGGGGUGGAAUCUGUAGAUAUUUGGAAGAACACCGGUGGCGAAGGCGGGUUUCUGGCCGAUAAAUUGACGCUGAGAUGCGAAAAGUGUGGGGAAUCGAACAGGAUUAGAUACCCUGGUAGUCCACACCGUAAACGAUGUACACUAGGUGUUGGGGCAAGAGCUUCAGUGCCAAAAGCAAAACGCGAUAAGUGUACCGCCUGGGGAGUAUGCCCGCAAAGGGUGAAAACUCAAAAGGAAAUUGACGGGGGCCCGCACAAGCGGUGGAGCAUGUGGUUUAAUUCGAUGGUACGCGAGGAACCUUACCUGGGUUUGACAUCUAGCGGAAUGCCUUAGAGAUAAGGCCGUGUAGUUUACUACACCGCUAGACAGGUGCUGCAUGGCUGUCGUCAGCUCGUGCCGUGAGGUGUUGGGUUAAAGUCCCGCAAACGAGCGCAAACCCCUACUGCCAGUUACUAAACAGGUAAAAGCUUGAGGACUCUGGCGGAACUGCCGAUGACGAAAUCGGAGGAAAGGUGGGGAUGACGUCGAAGUCAUCGUGGCCCCUUAUGUCCGGGGCUACGACGCGUGCUACGAUGGUUACUAC